UACGUAGGGUGCGAGCGUUGUCCGGAAUUAUUGGGCGUAAAGAGCUCGUAGGCGGUGUGUCGCGUCGGCCGUGAAAACCUGCAGCUUAACUGUGGGCUUGCGGUCGAUACGGGCAUGACUGGAGUUCGGCAGGGGAGACUGGAAUUCCUGGUGUAGCGGUGAAAUGCGCAGAUAUCAGGAGGAACACCCAUAGCGAAGGCAGCUCGCUGGGACGGUACUGACGCUGAGGCGCGAAAGCGUGGGGAGCGAACAGG
rnacentral:rRNA from 1 species